rnacentral:rRNA from 1 species
GAUGAACGCUGACAGAAUGCUUAACACAUGCAAGUCUACUUGAACUUCGGUUUGGGUGGCGGACGGGUGAGUAACGCGUAAAGAACUUGCCUCACAGAUAGGGACAACAUUUGGAAACGAAUGCUAACACCUGAUAUUAUGAUUUUAGGGCAUCCUAGAAUUAUGAAAGCUAUAUGCACUGUGAGAGAGCUUUGCGUCCCAUUAGCUAGUUGGAGAGGUAACGGCUCACCAAGGCGAUGAUGGGUAGCCGGCCUGAGAGGGUGAUCGGCCACAAGGGGACUGAGACACGGCCCUUACUCCUACGGGAGGCAGCAGUGGGGAAUAUUGGACAAUGGACCAAGAGUCUGAUCCAGCAAUUCUGUGUGCACGAUGAAGUUUUUCGGAAUGUAAAGUGCUUUCAGUUGGGAAGAAAAAAAUGACGGUACCAACAGAAGAAGUGACGGCUAAAUACGUG